UGGGGAAUAUUGCACAAUGGGCGCAAGCCUGAUGCAGCGACGCCGCGUGGGGGAUGACGGCCUUCGGGUUGUAAACUCCUUUCGCCAUUGACGAAGCCCUUCGGGGUGACGGUAGGUGGAGAAGAAGCACCGGCUGACUACGUGCCAGCAGCCGCGGUAAUACGUAGGGUGCGAGCGUUGUCCGGAAUUAUUGGGCGUAAAGAGCUUGUAGGCGGUUUGUCGCGUCUGCUGUGAAAGCCCGGGGCUUAACUCCGGGUCUGCAGUGGGUACGGGCAGACUAGAGUGUGGUAGGGGAGACUGGAAUUCCUGGUGUAGCGGUGAAAUGCGCAGAUAUCAGGAGGAACACCGAUGGCGAAGGCAGGUCUCUGGGCCAUUACUGACGCUGAGAAGCGAAAGCAUGGGGAGCGAACA
rnacentral:rRNA from 1 species